rnacentral:rRNA from 1 species
GACGAACGCUGGCGGCGUGCUUAACACAUGCAAGUCGUACGGUAAGGCCCUUUCGGGGGUACACGAGUGGCGAACGGGUGAGUAACACGUGAGUAACCUGCCCACAACUUUGGGAUAACGCUAGGAAACUGGUGCUAAUACUGGAUAUGUGCUCCUGCUGCAUGGUGGGGGUUGGAAAGCUCCGGCGGUUGUGGAUGGACUCGCGGCCUAUCAGCUUGUUGGUGGGGUAGUGGCCUACCAAGGCGGCGACGGGUAGCCGGCCUGAGAGGGUGACCGGCCAAAAUGGGACCGGGGUAAGGCCCAGACGCCGACGGGGGGCAAGCGGGGGGAAGAUUGGACAAGUGGCGGAAGCCUGAUGCAGCAACGCCGCGGGCGGGAUGACGGGCUUCGGGUUGUAAACCGCUUUCAGCAGGGACGAAGCUUUUUGUGACGGUACCUGCAGAAGGAGCACCGGCUAACUACGUG